rnacentral:ribozyme from 1 species
GAGUCUGGUCAGCCAGUAAGAAAAUCGGUCUUCUACAUCGUGUCCAUUGGGCGUGGCCUUUCGAAUAAACUUGCGAAGCUGUGCAAUUAUUUCCAAGCCUCCAUUUAUCGAGUCCCCGAGAGGAACACGGACGCCUGCAAUAAACGUCUUGAGGAGAUUGAUCAAGGAAUCGAAGAGCGGGCCUCCGUGCUGAGGCGGAGUAACAUCCAGAUUCGCA